UACGUAGGGGGCUAGCGUUGUCCGGAUUUAUUGGGCGUAAAGAGCGUGUAGGCGGCCAGGUAGGUCUGCUGUGAAAGUCGGGGGCUCAACCCUCGAAUGCCGGUGGAUACUGUCGGGCUAGAGUGCGGAAGAGGCGAGUGGAAUUCCUGGUGUAGCGGUGAAAUGCGCAGAUAUCAGGAGGAACACCGAUUGCGAAGGCAGCUCGCUGGGACGUAACUGACGCUGAGACGCGAAAGCGUGGGGAGCAAACAGG
rnacentral:rRNA from 1 species